rnacentral:rRNA from 1 species
GGUAUUAAUACCUCAUAGUAUUUUCGGAUCGCAUGAUUUGAUUAUUAAAGUUCCAACGGUAAAAGAUGAGUAUGCGUCCCAUUAGCUAGAUGGUAAGGUAACGGCUCACCAUGGCAAUGAUGGGUAGGGGUCCUGAGAGGGAGAUCCCCCACACUGGUACUGAGACACGGACCAAACUCCUACGGGAGGCAGCAGUGAGGAAUAUUGGACAAUGGGCGCAAGCCUGAUCCAGCCAUGCCGCGUGCAGGAAUAAGGUCCUAUGGAUUGUAAACUGCUUUUAUACAGGAAGAAACACACCCUCGUGAGGGUACUUGACGGUACUGUAUGAAUAAGGACCGGCUAACUCCGUG